rnacentral:lncRNA from 1 species
CUCAAACUUUCUUGUCUAAUUUUCUCACUUUGAUUUCAAAAGCAAUAGACGACUCACUCAUUCAUAAACGUGUCCACAUAUAGAUAUGCAUUUACAGAGAAAAAAAAGAGACUGAAAGAUAUGAACUUUACCUUAUUUAUACAUUCGAGCAUGAAUUUUAUGAAGUGAUUUUACAUUGAGAAUUCAAGCAAUGAUAUAUAAAACAAGCAUGUAUUGAACUUGAAUCUUGAGCUAUGUUGUGUGGAUUGUGCUGCUGUAAGUGUCGAGUUUGGUGAGAAGUGGUAGAGAGGGCAGCAGUCGGCGGCUAUUGCUGUUCGGCCGGAAACCGAGGGAGUCUUGGCGGAGGCGGCGUCGUUUAUGGCGCUAUCGUUGCUGGGAAUUUGAGUUUAGGUGUCACACCCCAAUUCUUGAAACAAUAACUAUAACUGGGGUACGACUAAUCAUCUAAAUGAACAAGGGAAAAUCUUUGUGAAAUUUGAAUAAAAGGGAUAACAAUCGGACUUAGCCCCUUUGGAUGAAGAAAGACAUGUAUUCAAGUGAUACGAAUCAAUCAACAAACAUAAUAACUUCAGGAUCACAAGUUUAGUGUCAUGCUUCAGAUAACCAACAUUCACUGAUCGAAAUACUUGAGAGUCAAUAGUCUAGGCUCAACAAAAGAUAUUGUUUAGAAUCACAACAUAAUAGGUCUUAAGUUAAGGAACAAAAGACAGAUACUGGCUAGUUCUGCAGCGGAAAUCAAAAUAAGGAGUUGAACUCUAGCCUCAGCUCCGCCCCGUCAUCACCCGCCAUUAACCUGAAAACAUUUGAAAGUAUUUUUGGGCUAAGUACUAAUGUACUUAGUGGGCUGCAACUUUUAAAACAUUUCACAAUCUAUAAGAGCAGUUUAUCCAAUCUUACUGACAUGACAUAGAAGGUUUUAAAGAGAAAUAACUUCUAUGCAUGUUAAAACAUUUCAUAUAUAUAUAUAUUUGAUUGCGCGCAGUUGUCACACUCUAUUCUGUUACUCGCUGUGAUCCCGGACCUUUUAGCCACCGACGGAUCUCUGUCUCCCGCUGGCUUGGACUGAGGGCGUAACCCAGCCAAGUUUACUUUGACCUCGGGAUGCUACCCAGGCAGGCCUCUUAUUUCUCAUGCUCCGGAACACAUCCAGCCGAGCACCCUUAUAACGCCUCUGGUUAGAGCCUGAUGGAGAUCAACCCACCGAGUCACUAACAAGUGUACACAAUUCUUAAACAACGUAUUAGGUCAUAAGAGAACCUCAAUUGAUUAACUGCGCGAGCCUUAAACAUGGUAGAGUGCACAAAAAUAUUUAUUGGAUAAACAAUUUGUAUUUCAUGAAACAUUUAAGCUCAUUAGCUCAAUCGUACAUUUGGAAAAUAAGCCCACCUGUAUAGGCAAAGCCUGUCGUUUAACGUAAUCUCUGAAUCGGAAUAGCAGUGCUAAUCCUCCUGAUGCUCAAAGCCUACAAGAAAUCUAUUCUCAAUAGGUCUCCUUGAAUCUAAUCUUAAGUCAUGGUGUAGUGCUUAAUAUUCUAUGAUUCACUUAGCCGGGUUUUCAAAAUUUGAAGAAUAAAUAAUUGAAAACAUUUCUCUUGAGUUAAGAACACCAACAAUAUUCUCACUCAUCUUUCUUUAAUAAUUGGAAUUAUAAAUAAAACCAAUUAAAUCAUAAAUACUUUUAUUGCAAAAUAUAAUGCAAUUUCAUGUCAUGCUUAGCAUAUAAUAAGUAAUUACUUAAAAUAUGCACAUAAUAAUAAUUUAAUAUUAUUAUGCAAAUUAAAAUAAUUAAUCAAACUUAAUAAGUCUAAUUAAUUAAAAUAGUGCAGUCCAAUUAAAAGAAUAAGCUGCACAGCCCAAUUGAGUAAAUUAAAUAAAGGCCCAACUGUUUAAUAAAAUAAAAACCGGCCCAACACAGAAUCCCAACUCCCCAAGCCCAAACCUAGCCUUUAUUUUCUUCCUUUCCUCCCUCCAUCAGUCACGCCACACACACAUUCAGUCCCUCACUGCUCGUCUCCCUCACUGCUCGCCCCUCUCUCUCUCUCGCGGUUCACGCCAACCCGCCGCCGCCUCCAGUCGAUGAAGGACGCCACCUUCAUUUCUACACAAACCUGGCUCAGAGCGGCGACAAAGCCCUUGCCUCGCCGCCUCUCCCUCAGAUCUCCGGCCGACAACAGCAGAUGAAGCAAGCUGCCGCCGAUUCUCCCUCGGCUCUCUCUCAAAAUCGACACCCACAACUCACUCCGUCCGAUUCGCCUUCCUCCUUGGAAACGGUGAGAUCACCGCUCCCUCCAUCUCUACUCUGCUAUUCCUUCGUCCGUGGCCGAGCGACAGCGGCAGGGCCGCCGCGUCCUGGCCUCCCUCUGUUCUCUUUCCUCCUUGGCGAUGACGGAACGCCGCCGCCCCAACCCAACUCUCUCUCUCUCUGUGACAGUGGCGAACCACCACCACCACCGACCGCACACCACUCUCCCUUCCUCCGCUGGACGGACAGUAGCGAUGUGCCACCGCCGUCGACGCCACAACAAUCACCACCCAACCAAACUACCGACUAGAGCACGAAGCAGCCCAAGACUCGACUUUUCCCUUUUCUUUUAAAACAUUCAUACUUUAUCUACAUACGCAGAUCAUAUGCUCAUGUAUACUCGUAUAGAAGUUUGAUUAAAUAAACACUGUGAACGUAUGAAUGCGCGUGAAUCUCUGUUGAGUAGCUGUAAGAUUUCAUGUAUUGUUCAUGUUUGUGAAAUGGAAUAAACAGAGUUCAAAAGAUGAAACCUUUAGUGGUUUUUUGGUUUGAGGUUGCUGAAUUUGAAAGGUGCAGCUGCUGGAUUUACUGCUACUGAACUUGGUGAAUGGAGCUAGUAGAAUAACUACAGAUAUUGAUUUAUUUUCAAUACUUGCAUGAUGAAACAUGAAAGAAAUGGAGAAAUUUCAAGUUCAAAAACUCAAACUUACAUGUGUAGUUAGCAUAACGCUUGGGAGAGAGUUGGGAGCUGCUGAAAAUUGUAAAGAGGUGCCAGGAAAUGGCCUUGAGUGUUUUGAUUUAGCGUGGGGGUUGGACUUGGACUGCAUACCUAAAGACAUGACUUAAAGUUUAAAGCUGAUUUUUUUGGGGGUUGUUUGAAAAGACAAUGUAUGGUGUAGGGUGGCUGAUAGGAGGUAUGAUAUGAGUGUUGAUUGGACAAUUAAAUCCCUCAGGAUAAAAUAUCGAGACUGUAAUAAUUCCUCAGGGUUCACUAAUUAAAAGCUCGUGAAAAUGCUUGAAUGCAAAAUUAAAUAAAUAUGCAAUACAUAUAAAUUUAAUAACUAAUUUACAAAUGCUUUUGUAAAUCAUUUUUGUUGGAAUUAAAAAUAAAUUCUUUUUUCUUUAUCCGGCGUGAAUCAUCUUAAAUCUAAGUUCGAAAAUUAUUCUAAACUUAGCUCGAGGAAACGGGGUAUUACAUUAGGGCACGAUGGCGGCGAGGAGCCGCUGUCACCGCCAGAAAUCAGGGAGAUGAGGUAGUGGUUGGAUCGAGAGUAGCAGGCAGCGAUAGGGGCGGCGGUUUCACGCCCUGUUAUGAGUCGGAACAGAGAUGGAGAUUCGGAGGGAGCCUUGGUAUGGUGUGUGUGUUCUGUUGGUUGGGCCUAGGGCUUCAGGCGGCGGUGGCCUCGUCGUCGCUGCCCUGAGUCGCCGGAGUUGAGGAAGCGGAAACCUAGGGCUUGCAGAGCGGCGGCGGCCGGAACUAGAGGAGAAUAGAGAUGAGGG